UGGGGAAUAUUGGACAAUGGGCGAAAGCCUGAUCCAGCAAUACCGCGUGUGUGAAUAAGGCCUUCGGGUUGUAAAGCACUUUAAGUUGGGAAGAAAAAACUUUACCUAAUACGUGAAGUCUUGACGGUACCGACAGAAUAAGCACCGGCUAACUCUGUGCCAGCAGCCGCGGUAAUACAGAGGGUGCUAGCGUUAAUCGGAUUUACUGGGCGUAAAGCGUGCGUAGGUGGUUUGAUAAGUCGGUUGUGAAAGCCCCGGGCUCAACCUGGGAAUUGCGGCCGAUACUGUCAGACUCGAAAACGGUAGAGGGAGGUGGAACUCCAGGUGUAGCGGUGAAAUGCGUAGAUAUCUGGAAGAACAUCGAUGGCGAAGGCAGCCUCCUGGGCCUGUUUUGACACUGAGGCACGAAAGCGUGGGUAGCAAACA
rnacentral:rRNA from 1 species